GACCUGGCCGGGCGGUCCGCCUCACGGUGUGUACUGUCUGGCUGGGCCUUACCUCUUGGUGAGCCGGUAUGCCCUUUACUGGAUGUGCCGGUGAACCAGGACUUUUACCUUGAGAAAAUUAGAGUGUUCAAAGCAGGCCUAUGCCUGAAUACGUUAGCAUGGAAUAAUGAAAUAGGACGU
rnacentral:rRNA from 1 species